rnacentral:sRNA from 1 species
ACCAGAGGAAGUGGGGAGAGACAGCAGGUGCAGUGAUGGCUGGCGGAGUCAUGGACAAGGAGUACGUGGGUUUUGCUGCCCUCCCCAACCAGCUGCACCGCAAGUCUGUCAAGAAGGGGUUUGACUUCACACUAAUGGUGGCAGGGGAGUCAGGCCUAGGGAAAUCCACCCUCAUCAACAGCCUCUUCCUCACCAACCUCUAUGAGGAUCGCCAGGUGCCAGAGGCCAGUGCUCGCUUGACACAGACCCUGGCCAUUGAGCGCCGGGGUGUAGAGAUCGAGGAAGGGGGUGUGAAGGUGAAGCUGACCCUUGUGGACACGCCUGGCUUUGGGGACUCAGUGGACUGCUCUGACUGGUGAGGAAGAGGAAAGGGGACAGAGGCUCAGCCUCUCACAGUGGCGACUCCCUGGAGAGUUACAGGGCUGGUUUGUGCUGGCUUCCUAUCCCAAAAGGUGGUGUCUGUUUCAGAGGGCCACUGGGUCCCUGUGCUUCUUGAUGACUCACCUAGGUCCCCACCAGUUCCCCUUAAUGUCUUUGGAGGGAGCCAAAGAAAUGACAUUCUACUCCCACAGUCCUGGCUAGCCUUACCCCCUGCCCUCUGGCCUUUGAUCUCUGACCUC